AUCGAACCCGGAGAUAGCUGGUUCUCCUCGAAAUAGCUUUAGGGCUAGCCUCGCAUUAGUUUACCGGAGGUAGAGCACUGAAUGGUCUAGGGGGCCUCACCGCCUACCGAAACCUAUCAAACUGCGAAUGCCGGAUAAAUGAUGUGCGGGAGUCAGGCCGCGAGAGAUAAGUUCCGCGGUCAAAAGGGGAACACCCCAGAUCGUCUGCUAAGGUCCCCAAGUACGCGUUAAGUGGGAAAGGAUGUUGGAUUGCACAGACAACCAGGAUGUUGGCUUAGAAGCAGCCACACAUUCAAAGAGUGCGUAAUAGCUCACUGGUCGAGUGAUCCAGCGCCGAAAAUGUAACGGGGCUAAAACGCGACACCGAAGCAGCGGGAUGCGUAAGCAUCGGUAGAGGAGCAUUGUGUGAGGGUUGAAGCCAGAGCGAGAGCACUGGUGGACUUCACAGAAGAGAGAAUGCCGGUAUGAGUAGCGAGACCCAUGCGAGAAACAUGGGCGUCGAAGGCCCAAGGUUUCCUGGGGAAGGUUCAUCCACCCAGGGUAAGUCGGGACCUAAGCCGAGGACUGAGGUCGUAGGCGAUGGACAGCAGGUAGAGAUUCCUGCACCACUUACACUUGUUUGACGAAGCAGUGACACAGAAGGAUAGGACGAGCGCGGUGAUGGUCAACCGCGUAGGCGGCACGAGGCCGGGAAGCAGUGAAGUACACUUCCCGCAAAGGCUGAGUGUUGACAGGACCGAAAAGAAGUAGGGAAGCGUCUGAGUUCACGCUGGCGAGAAAAGCUGCUAAGGAGAGUGUGAGUGCCCGUACCGGAAACCGACGCAGGUGGGCGAGGAGAGAAUCCUGAGACGGACGGGAGAACUCUUGUUAAGGAACUCGGCAAAAUGACCCCGUAACUUCGGGAGAAGGGGUGCCUCGAAAGAGGCCGCAGAGAAUAGUCACAAGCGACUGUUUAGCAAAAACACAGGUAUCUGCGAAAGCGAGAGCUGACGUAUAGGUGCUGACACCUGCCCGGUGCUGGAAGGUUAAGGGAACAUGUUAGAGCAAUCGAAGCAUCGAACCGAAGCCCCAGUAAACGGCGGCCGUAACUAUAACGGUCCUAAGGUAGCGAAAUUCCUUGUCGGGUAAGUUCCGACCCGCACGAAUGGCGUAACGACUUGUGAGCUGUCUCAACAGGAGGCCCGGUGAAAUUGAAGUAUGUGUGAAGAUGCACAUUACCCGCGACUGGACGGAAAGACCCCGUAGAGCUUUACUGUAACCUGACAUUGGAUCUUGAUAACGGAUGCACAGGAUAGGUGGGACGCUGGGAGACGAGGACUUUGGUUUUCGUGGAGCGGCCGUUGGGAUACCACUCUUCUGUUAUUGAGAUUCUAACCUCAAGCCGUGAGCCGGAUGAGAGACAGUGUCAGGCGGACAGUUUGACUGGGGCGGUCGCCUCCGAAAGAGUAACGGAGGCGCCCAAAGGUACCCUCAGAAUGGAUGGAAACCAUUCGAAGAGAGCAAAGUCAGAAGGGUGCUUGACUGCGAGACCAACAAGUCGAGCAGGUACGAAAGUAGGGCUUAGUGAUCCGGCGGUAAGAGAGUGGAAUUGCCGUCGCUCAACGGAUAAAAGCUACCUCGGGGAUAACAGGCUGAUCUCCCCCAAGAGUUCACAUCGACGGGGAGGUUUGGCAC
rnacentral:rRNA from 1 species